AACGAACGCUGGCGGCAUGCCUAACACAUGCAAGUCGAACGAGACCUUCGGGUCUAGUGGCGCACGGGUGCGUAACGCGUGGGAACGUGCCCUUAGGUUCGGAAUAACUCCCCGAAAGGUGUGCUAAUACCGGAUAAGGUCUUCGGACCAAAGAUUUAUCGCCGUUGGAUGGGCCCGCGUUGGAUUAGCUAGUUGGUAGGGUAAAAGCCUACCAAGGCGACGAUCCAUAGCUGGUCUGAGAGGAUGAUCAGCCACACUGGGACUGAGACACGGCCCAGACUCCUACGGGAGGCAGCAGUGGGGAAUAUUGGACAAUGGGCGAAAGCCUGACGCAGCAAUGCCGCGUGAGUGAUGAAGGCCUUAGGGUUGUAAAGCUCUUUUACCCGGGACGAUAAUGACGGUACCGGGAGAAUAAGCUCCGGCUAACUCCGUG
rnacentral:rRNA from 1 species